rnacentral:misc_RNA from 1 species
GGGAGACUAAUAGCAUAUGUAUACAGAGCAUGCAAACAAGAAAACAAAAAUCUCAUUUACACUUCAUCUUCCUCUCAAAAUAAAAACAUAUCUACACGUUCAACAAUUAUGAUUGCAGAAAAGUAAAGUGGGAGAUUGGUGGGGGAGGAGAGUGUAAAAACAAAAACUAACAUGCGAAAACUAGUGAACAAACCCUACAUUUUUCUGUGAGAACCUCUUUGUUGUCUCCAAGAUAGCUUCAUGUCUUCUCUUGUAUAUCUGUUUAAUUGCCUCUUGAUAUUUCAUUUCUAUAUCCUCCAGCUCCCUUCUCAAAUCCUCAUUAUCAUCCUUAGGCAAAGAGGAAAUGUUGGUCGAACAGAUCUCCACGUGGCUAUUGUUCAUGUCCAUUAAUUUGCUUUUGUCAUCAGGGAAUGGACUUUCCAUCCUGACAAAGAACUCUCCUAGGGUACCUUUCAAACCAUUGCCAUCAAAGUCUGCAAGUGCCGAUUCCAUGGAGAUGUUUGAAUUGAAAGAAAACCUUUUGUCAUUCCACUCAGUAGAAGCCGCAGAAACAUAUGACAUCGCUGAACCACGAUCAUCGACCUCUGCUGUGGUCUGGUAACCAAACUUAUCAAUAUGAGAUAUCUCAUUAAGUUUAAUAAAACCAGAACACUCCUCUUUUUCUAUGGUUGGAACUGAUCCCCUUAGAGAACAAGAUUGACAACAUGAAGUACUUGAAACAGUCUCCACAUUUUCUGAUGAAUGAUGGUUCUUCUGGUUUCCCUUAGAGUCUUCUGUUCUAUUUUGAGGAACUAGAUGCUCAAUGAGCACACAAGGUUUCCAAUUGGGUAUUAAUUUCAACAGCAACAAAUCAAUCAGCUCUGCUAUGAAUGUAAUGUUUUGAUCCUCUAGCUCUAGCUGCUCAACCAUUUCACUUGAAACUGAAAUAGCAGUAUCACCAUCAAGGUAGAAUAUGAAAUGAAUAUUUCUAACCCGAGAACCAUUCUGAUCAGCUAUUCGAAGAACUAUUGAUACAGAGUUUUCAUCACUUCCUUCACCUCUUAACAAGAAAAUAUUGCCUCUCUUUGCCCUUCGAACCUCCACACAUGGAGAAUGCAAAUGCCCAUCAAUGGAAUUAUUCGAAGAUGUGAUGAUAGGCAUAUCAGGAUCAUGAUCCAAAUCCAGGGAAGAGGGUUUAUUUCGUGUAUUGGCAGGUCCUUCUGACAUCAAACAACGAUCUCCAAAGGCUGCUGUCCUGGGCAGAACAAUAUCAGGAAGUGGCAAGGGACAGUUCCUCGCUUAGAGAGGGCAGCAGGCUUUAUUCCAGAUGAAACCUUCUUAUAUAUCUGAGCUGAGUUCCUACAUUCACUAUAAGGAUAUUCAAAAGUAACCAUCUCCAGCAUGCACAUCCCAAAGGAAUAUAUAUCAACCAACUCAUUAUAGUCCUCAUCAUACAGCUCAGGUGCCAUAAACUCAGGGGUUCCUAUUAAAAUGACAUAUACAAUAGAUCAACAUCAAGGUAAAACAUGUAAUUGAAGAACCAAAAACUGUAAUGUAAAUAAAAUGCACAAAUAGUGCCAUCAAAAUGUUAAUGAUACUAAUAAUAUCAAGAAAACGUGAAUAUUAUAGUGCACACCAAACCCAUGUGCAUCAUGGAAUAAAAAGUAUUCAGGAAAAUUGGGGGGGAAAAACAAACACCUAUAACACUUUUGUCAUGUGCCUGCCCCAUGACAGUUGCCAAACCGAGAUCUCCGAUUUUAACUUCCCCUUGGUUACCAUUAAUAAAUAUAUUAUCACAUUUCAGAUCCCUAUGAAUAAUUGGAGGCUUGUGACUGUGAAGGUAGCUCAAACCCAUCAAAAUCUGUCUAGCCCAACGCUUCAAAGCCUUAAGGUCAACAUUCCUAUGUUUCUUUCGGUACUGUCUCAAGUUACCCGAGGUAAAUAACUCAGUUAUAAUAUUAACAGUCUUGUUUUUAUCAUCAAUCCAUGAAUUGUAGAACUUUACAAUAUUGCUAUGCUUCAACGAUUUCAAGAGAUGUACUUCAGAGUAAAGCCUCUCCAAGUCUUCAGGUGACUGUAACACCUCAUCAAUCUGAACUUGGCUCCAUGCUACUUCAAGUCCAUUAACUUCAUCAAAUGCCUUAUAAACUCUCUUAAAAGCACCUUUUCCAAGCACCUCCUUGUAUCUUAUGUAUCGACCAGUUGGAUCCACCUCAAGAACAUCUGGAUCAGGAGGUUCAGAAUGGGUUCCACCAUCCUCAUUACUUUCCAUAUCAAUCAAACUCUAAUCUCAAAGGGGCGCGAAGGUGAUAGCGCUUAACGAAAAGAGAAAGGAAGGAAAGGAAAACCCUAUCCCAGUUAACCGUAAUGGAGAGAGAAAGAGAUUGAUCAAAUAAUAAACCAACACUACACCUCGUUUUCAAAGCUCUCUCUCUCCCGC